GUAAUUCAUACUUAGAAGACGGAUUUCCGUCUAAGACGGGAAACUCGUGUGACGGAUUUCCGUCUGGUAUAAGUAUGAAACGAAAACCAUCGGACGGAGAAACCCGAAAAAAUAGGAGACCCUCCAUCCCAGUCUCUUUUGAACGUUACGAGCAGAAACCCGUCUUGAUUUAUUCGUCUGAUAUAAAUUUAAGACGGAUUUAAGACGGAUUUCCGUCUAAGACGAGAAACUCGUCUAACUUUCCCGUCGUUCAGACGGGAAAGUUAGACGGAAAAGUUGAGACGGAAAACCCGUCGUUAACCGAAUUUAUAUCAAGACGAGUUUCUCGUCUGAGACGAGUUUCCGUCUUAGACGGAAAUCCGUCUUCUAAUAUGAAUUCGGCUAUUGUCAACAUUCGUGAUAUAAAUAAAUUGAGUCUAGUUUAGUUACAAUGGACCACUAGGCCUCAAGCUCUGCCAUGAGAACAUGC